AUGGAUUUUACUGGGAGACAGUUGAAACUGGUGACAAAUACUUCCCUAAUAGCAGCAACAUCGAGGCUUGCAGAGAUACAGACACCAAGGUUGCCAUGGUGCUGCUGUUUCAAAGGCUCUUCCAAAGUCCCCUGGCUACCCAUCACAUGUUGCAGCUGGUACUCAGUGCAGGUCUGGAUACCUGUAGACUCCUCCUGCUCUAUCCUCAGCAGGAUGUGCUGCUCUCCUGCUCAGGAAAGCUGCCUUCUUCUCGUACUUCAAAGACAAGCAAGGUUCCACCAGUGGUGGCAUUGGGUGUUAGAGGGCCUGAAGAAUGCAGCACCUUGCAGACCCCACAACUGGCCAGCAUGAUGGACUGCAGCUCCAUCAGGGCCAUCUACUGCAGAAGCCCUGAGGAUCCUCUCAUUGACCUGCCCCUCCUGGACAGCUAUGGACAAAGGGAGCUCUGCCUCUGGUUUGAAGGGAGGUCUCCUACAUCAGCAUUGCAUGCUGGUGUCCUGUGUCCAGAUUCCCAGUGCAACAGAGCAAGCUCACAUAGCCCUUCAUCAACUAGGGCAGAAGCAGAUGAAGAACAGGUUGAUGUCCAGGGCAUGGUGCUGUCCCAGCCUCUAGCAAUGCUUGUCUCAAAUACCAAAGGUCAGUCUUAGGGAAUGAAUUGUGAGGUGUAUGUUGCUCCUUCUCUGACAAUACUACCUUACUGCAGUGCCCCUGUGUCAGGACAUUCUGCCCCAUUGGAUUGCUUAGUGCUGUAACCUGGCCAACUCUAGAGGUG
rnacentral:lncRNA from 14 species